UCCCGGGAAGUCCUCGUG
rnacentral:sRNA from 1 species